GAUGAACGCUGGCGGCGUGCCUAAUACAUGCAAGUCGAGCGAACAGACGAGGAGCUUGCUCCUCUGACGUUAGCGGCGGACGGGUGAGUAACACGUGGAUAACCUACCUAUAAGACUGGGAUAACUUCGGGAAACCGGAGCUAAUGCCGGAUAAUAUAUUGAACCGCAUGGUUCAAUAGUGAAAGACGGUUUUGCUGUCACUUAUAGAUGGAUCCGCGCCGCAUUAGCUAGUUGGUAAGGUAACGGCUUACCAAGGCAACGAUGCGUAGCCGACCUGAGAGGGUGAUCGGCCACACUGGAACUGAGACACGGUCCAGACUCCUACAGGAGGCAGCAGUAGGGAAUCUUCCGCAAUGGGCGAAAGCUUGACGGAGCAACGCCGCGUGAGUGAUGAAGGUCUUCGGAUCGUAAAACUCUGUUAUUAGGGAAGAACAAAUGUGUAAGUAACUAUGCACGUCUUGACGGUACCUAAUCAGAAAGCCACGGCUAACUACGUG
rnacentral:rRNA from 1 species